AUGGGGAAUAUUGCACAAUGGGGGAAACCCUGAUGCAGCCAUGCCGCGUGUGUGAAGAAGGCCUUCGGGUUGUAAAGCACUUUCAGUAGGGAGGAAGGUAGUGUAGUUAACACCUGCACUAUUUGACGUUACCUACAGAAGAAGCACCGGCUAACUCCGUGCCAGCAGCCGCGGUAAUACGGAGGGUGCGAGCGUUAAUCGGAAUUACUGGGCGUAAAGCGCAUGCAGGCGGCCUGUUAAGUCAGAUGUGAAAGCCCGGGGCUUAACCUCGGAAUUGCAUUUGAAACUGGCAGGCUAGAGUCUUGUAGAGGGGGGUAGGAAUUUCAGGUGUAGCGGUGAAAUGCGUAGAGAUCUGAAGGAAUACCAGUGGCGAAGGCGGCCCCCUGGACAAAGACUGACGCUCAGAUGCGAAAGCGUGGGGAGCAAACAGGAUUAGAUACCCUGGUAG
rnacentral:rRNA from 1 species